CUAUAAGUGUAGGUUAUAGGUUUAGGUUAAGGUUGUUUUUCUUUUCAUUUGUCUGGAUCACCUCUCAUAUGUUCUCUCUCUUUUCAUUUAUUUUUUUCCAUAUGAUUGUUUGUGUUUGGAUAGAUGCAGUUUAUGUUUGGAUGAAUGUAGUUUAUGUCUGGAUGAAUUUACGUAGUUUGGGUUUAGAUGGAUGUGAAUGUGAAUAUGAUGAAAUAUAUUAUAUAACAGGUGUAUAUCAGGAAGAAUAUGAUGAAUUAUAUUCUAACAGGUGUAUAUCAGGAAAUUUGAGAUGGAAUAUUUUU